rnacentral:rRNA from 1 species
UACGUAGGGGGCGAGCGUUGUCCGGAUUUAUUGGGCGUAAAGAGCGUGUAGGCGGCUUGGUAGGUCUCGCGUCAAAACCUGCGGCUCAACCGCAGUUCGCGUGGGAAACCACCUAGCUAGAGUCCGGAAGAGGAGAACGGAAUUCCUAGUGUAGCGGUGAAAUGCGCAGAUAUUGGGAAGAACACCAGUGGCGAAGGCGGUUCUCUGGGACGGUACUGACGCUGAGACGCGAAAGCGUGCGAGCGAACAGG